GGGGAAGGGGUGGGGGUGCAUUCCAGAGACGGACCCUUGGCCUCUGCAGAGAGAGAGAGAGAAAAAAGGGGGAAGAAAGCUGGAAAAGUGGCGAAAUAAAGUUUAAAGAUGGCAUCCUCUCCAGAUCUAAUGAUGAAGUCAAGUUCAACCGAGAACGUGGAUCUGAGCAUGCAAUUAUGUUCUGAGGCCAAAGAUCUGCUGACCAGCCAUACAGGAAGUACCUACUACAGCAGUUCCAGAAGUGUAUCCCUUUGGACCUCAGAGCCACAGACUGCUUGGGAAAUUUACCACAAACCUAUUUUUGUCAUGUCAGUUGGAGGGGCUUUUUUCUUUUUGGGGUCCAUAAUGACUGGCUUAUAUUUUGCACAGAUCAUAAAGAAAACAUGCAACGUACUGGGGCCUGCAUUUCUGUCCAUUGGGAUGAUGUUUCUUGUAUUUGGAUUAGUCUGGCUCCCCAUCCUCAAAGAAAAACGUAAGCAAAAGUCCACGUCAAGGUAUUUAAGGAACCAGAAACCACCAUCUUUCUUUAACUUGUGAAACAAAGCCACACCACAGAGAAGCUUACUGCUAAAGUACUGACUUCUGGGAGUGGAUGUCUCCUGGGUUCACUGUAAUUCAUGUUUACAAGGCCCAUGGGUGUUAAUGGAGAUGUAUGACACCACACUCCUUAUGUAUUCUUUGGUAUCGGUGAAGCUGUUUAGAAAGAAAAAGAACUUGCAUUUAUAAUACACCUUUCAUGACAUGACGACAUUCCAAAGUGCUUUAUGGCCAACUAAGAGUGAUCACCAUGAUAAGUCAUAAAACAUGAAAUAAAGUAACAAUGUGACACUUAAUGAAUUUUAUUAGCUCGAUGAUAAUUGAAGAAAAUGGAUACCUUCUUUCAGCAGAUAUCUUACAUUUUUUCAACAUUUCUACCCAGUCGAUAUUUAUCAAAGAAUUUAAUCGUUUGGCUUCUUGGGACCAGCCAGUUCUGACUAUAAAGCUGUUUUUAGCAACAGACUAACGAAGGACCAAAAAUUGUUGCAUCAAAGUUUAUCAAGUUAUCUGAGUGAAGGUUAGAAUUUGAGAUUUCAUCUGUGAUUUCCACAGGUGGAAUAUGAAGGAGAAUCUGUUCCACUAAAUAAUGAAAGCUCUUUGUUUACUGAUUAAAUUUUACACAGAAUUUGCUUUCUUCAAACAAUGAAAGCUCCGAUACCUCAAAAACCCAUGGGAAAAUUGUCCGUCUUAAACUUGUAUUAACCCUGGAAGACUUUAUCCUUGACUGAGUUGCCUUUGCUUUUUAGAAGGACAAUAUUGCUUACUGCAACCAGCAUCAAGCCAGCAUUGAAUGUUUUUCUCAAGAAGUCACAAUACAAGAAGCGUAGCCGUGUAAUAACCGCACAUGAUUAUGUUUGAGAGGGUUUGUUUACUUUUGUACCAAUGUGUAAUCUAUUAAAUUCAAUAUUGUAUUGUGCAUGAAGA